AUUGAACGCUGGCGGCAUGCCUUACACAUGCAAGUCGAGCGGAGCGGCGAACGGGUGAGUAAUGUCUAGGAAUCUGCCUGGUAGUGGGGGAUAACUUCCGGAAAGGGGAGCUAAUACCGCAUACUAUUAGAUGAGCCUAUUUCGGAUUAGCUAGUUGGGGGGGUAAAGGCUUACCAAGGCGACGCUCCGUACCUGGUCGGAGAGGAAGACCAGGCACACUGGAACUGAUACAAGGUCAAGACUCCUACGGGAGGCAGCAGUGUGGAAUAUUGGACAAUGGGCGAAACCCUGAUCCAGCCAUGCCGCGGGUGGGAAGAAGGUCUUCGGAUUGUAAAGCAAUUUAAGUAGGGAAGCGGUACCAGCAGAAUAAGCACCGGCUAACUACGUGCCAGCAGCCGCGGUAAUAC
rnacentral:rRNA from 1 species